GGCCGUGUGGCGAAAUGGCAUCGCGUCUGACUACGAAUUCUAGGAUUGGGCAUCAGGAGAUUGCAGGUUCGACCCCUGUCUCGGUCA